GCCAGGUGUGGUGGUGCACGCCUGUAAUCCCAGCUACUCAGGAGGCUGAGGCAGGAGAAUCACUUGAACUCAGGAGGUGGAGGUUGCAGUGAGCCAAGAUCAUGCCACUGCACUCCAGCCUGGGUGACAGAGUGAGACUUUGUCUCAA
rnacentral:sRNA from 1 species